CACAUCAGACAACAGCUGUGGUCACCUUGCAUGGACAAUUGUACGUCCGUGUCCCAUUUGAGGAGUCAGACUGAUCAGUUGAAAAAGGUCCAUGCCUCUUAAAGACACAAGCGAAUUGCCAUUAGGGCAACGAAGCUAAUUGUUGGAGCUGGAUGGAUUUCAGACAUGGUUGUAAUUGCCUUGUGUUAGAUUAGUACUUAACCGUGUUGAUACUAUCUAGGUCGGAGGCUUUUUUUAAUUCAAGUUAUCCAUGGGACGUGUUAUAUGUUUUUGCUUGUGAGCUUUAUCCACAUCGAACUUGCAUAUUUUCAUAAUGUUAUUGCAAGUUUCUCUCUGAUCUCUU
rnacentral:lncRNA from 1 species